rnacentral:rRNA from 1 species
CUAUGCGCCUUGCCAGCCCGCUCAGGUGUGCCAGCAGCCGCGGUAAUACGUAUGGUGCAAGCGUUAUCCGGAUUUACUGGGUGUAAAGGGAGCGCAGGCGGCACGGCAAGCCUGAUGUGAAAGCCCGCGGCCCAACCGCGGGACUGCAUUGGGAACUACCGGGCUGGAGUGCCGGAGAGGUAGGCGGAAUUCCUAGUGUAGCGGUGAAAUGCGUAGAUAUUAGGAGGAACACCAGUGGCGAAGGCGGCCUACUGGACGGUGACUGACGCUGAGGCUCGAAAGCGUGGGGAGCAAACAGG